rnacentral:rRNA from 1 species
CCUACGGGAGGCAGCAGUGAGGAAUAUUGGUCAAUGGGCGGGAGCCUGAACCAGCCAAGCCGCGUGAGGGAAGAAGGUACAGCGUAUCGUAAACCUCUUUUGUCAGGGAACAAAGGCGGGGACUAGUCCCCGGAUGAGGGUACCUGAAGAAAAAGCAUCGGCUAACUCCGUGCCAGCAGCCGCGGUAAUACGGAGGAUGCGAGCGUUAGCCGGAUUUAUUGGGUUUAAAGGGUGCGCAGGCGGCCUGUUAAGUCAGCGGGAAAAGCCCGGGGCUCAACCCCGGCGAGCCGUUGAAACUGGCGGGCUGGAGUUGGAGAGAAGUACGCGGAAUGCGCGGUGUAGCGGUGAAAUGCUUAGAGAUCGCGCAGAACCCCGAUUGCGAAGGCAGCGUACCGGCUCCACACUGACGCUGAGGCACGAAAGCGUGGGUAUCGAACAGGAUUAGAUACCCCUGUAGUC